rnacentral:lncRNA from 1 species
CUGGGCUUUUGUGCUUUGGUGACUUAAAGACAACACAUACAAUUUCGUCAUCUGUAAUUGGGGCAUUGAGGAUUGAAAUAGCUUCCAAAUCAAGUUUUCUAGUCGGCUCCACAUGAAUGUUAUUAGGUUUCCCAGCUUGAUUGAGUAAGGAAUAAAAAAAUUGCUCUGUGUGUGCUUUAACCUCAUCUAAAUUCUCAAUAAGAUUAUCAUCUUUGUCUCUGCAUUUGCUGAUACGGUUAACAGCCCUUCGAGUAGCAAUUGAAGCAUAGAAAAAUUUAGUAUUGGAAUCCCCUAGUGUAAGCCAAUGUUGUUGAGAC